AUGAACGCUGGCGGCGUGCCUCAUACAUGCAAGUCGCGCGAACAGACGAGGAGCUUGCUCCUCUGACGUUAGCGGCGGACGGGUGAGUAACACGUGGAUACCUACCUAUAAGACUGGGAUAACUUCGGGAAACCGGAGCUAAUACCGGAUAACAUGUUGAACCGCAUGGUUCAACAGUGAAAGACGGUUUUGCUGUCACUUAUAGAUGGAUCCGCGUCGCAUUAGCUAGUUGGUAAGGUAACGGCUUACCAAGGCAACGAUGCGUAGCCGACCUGAGAGGGUGAUCGGCCACACUGGAACUGAGACACGGUCCAGACUCCUACGGGAGGCAGCAGUAGGGAAUCUUCCGCAAUGGGCGAAAGCCUGACGGAGCAACGCCGCGUGAGUGAAGAAGGUCUUCGGAUCGUAAAACUCUGUUAUUAGGGAAGAACAAAUGUGUAAGUAACUAUGCACGUCUUGACGGUACCUAAUCAGAAAGCCACGGCUAACUACGUG
rnacentral:rRNA from 1 species